CCUACGGGUGGCUGCAGUGGGGAAUAUUGGACAAUGGGCGAAAGUCUGAUCCAGCCAUGCCGCGUGUGUGAAGAAGGCCUUCGGGUUGUAAAGCACUUUCAGUGGGGAAGAAAGCCUUGGGGCUAAUACCCUCGAGGAAGGACAUCACCCACAGAAGAAGCACCGGCUAACUCCGUGCCAGCAGCCGCGGUAAUACGGAGGGUGCGAGCGUUAAUCGGAAUUACUGGGCGUAAAGCGCGCGUAGGCGGUCUGAUAAGCCGGUUGUGAAAGCCCCGGGCUCAACCUGGGAACGGCAUCCGGAACUGUCAGGCUAGAGUGCAGGAGAGGAAGGUAGAAUUCCCGGUGUAGCGGUGAAAUGCGUAGAGAUCGGGAGGAAUACCAGUGGCGAAGGCGGCCUUCUGGACUGACACUGACGCUGAGGUGCGAAAGCGUGGGUAGCAAACAGGAUUAGAUACCCCAGUAGUC
rnacentral:rRNA from 1 species